rnacentral:lncRNA from 1 species
CAUGUGUUUGAUGAUCUCAGAGGCUCAGUAUCCUUGUCCUGGGUUGGAGAUAGCACUGGGGUGUGUUGAGGGACUGUGGUGCCCAUGGGCUCAUGGUUGUUCAUCUGUUGGUCCCUGCCCCUGCCACAAAGGAGGUACUGCCAGGAUUGGGGGAAUGGAAGGAGGAUCAGUCAGCUCCUUAUCCCUCCUGAUAUACAGCUGGGCUCCCACUAGGAGGACACGCUGAGGAUACAUUGGCCCCUGGUCUUAAAUCAGGACUUGUUGCCUGGCUGUCUUAUUAUCCUGCUUGAACAAGAGCAGGGGCAACAUCUCCUGCCCCCUGGUAUUCCAUAAUGCAUGUGUCAUAGCAUUGAGGCACAUGAUAGUUAUAUUAGAAGCCUAAAGAAAUAAA